CCUGGGUGCCUGACUGGGGUCACUCCAUGUGGGCACUGUAGCUUUUGUCUGCAUCUGGACAGCUGGG
rnacentral:sRNA from 1 species